rnacentral:rRNA from 1 species
UCCACGCUGUAAACGAUGAUCACUCGUUGUUGGCGAUACAUUGUCAGCGACCAAGCGAAAGCAUUAAGUGAUCCACCUGGGGAGUACGAUCGCAAGAUUGAAACUCAAAGGAAUUGACGGGGGCCCGCACAAGCGGAGGAACAUGUGGUUUAAUUCGAUGAUACGCGAGGAACCUUACCUGGGCUUAAAUGCAGGGCGAUUUUUCCCGAAAGGGAUUUUUCGGACGACCUGCA